CAUUUUCGUGCAACGAAAGGGGGGAAAAAAAGGGGAAAAAAAAAAAAUCCCCCACAUUUGCCGAAACGGCAUCCCGGACGUUCGAGCGUGCGUGGUGCUCGGAAAUCCUUUUAGAGCAGGUGUUCAAACAAGCGGGAUUAACGUAAUGAGAUGCAAUUACAUGCAGCUUGGUUACUGUUGCUCAAAGUCCACCGUCAACUUCUGGAGGGGAAAAAAAACCUCAGAAAAAACACCCGAGCAGGACUCGCAUUAUUCGCUUUAUAAAACACGACGUGUGCACUUUUUGAUAAAACACACACACACACACACACAAUGCUAAAUCUACACACACGGCAAACAGAAUGUAAAAGCAAGCAGCCUUCCAUGGCCAUUAUCUUCUUCCUCAACAGAUGUUCUUGUGAUUGCUGGCUCGAUUUCAGCGAGGAAAAAAAUACACGGAAAAAACCCCCGAACAACUGUACACGAUGAAGGACCUUCUGUCGAUCUGAGAUAGCGAGUGUUUAACAUACAGAAUUUACUUUCAGGCACCAUCUCUCUCUUUAUCUUUCAGUCUCUCUCUCUCUCUCUCUCUCUCUCUCUCUCUCUCUCUCUCUCUCUGUGUCUAUCUCUUGGUCUCUCUCUCUCCAUCUUUCUCACUCUGUUGCUUUCUGUCCCUCUUUGUCUCUCUGUCUCUUCUUCUCUCCAUCUCUCUCACUCUCUCUUUCUCUAUCGCUUUCUCUCGGUUGCCGUGGUUACAGCCACUCAUGGUAGAUAGGAGAAGGUGCCGGAGAUCAAACAGCUGUUGUGUCCAGAUGUCGUUCUCCUUCUCCCGUUGCUAUGGACCUUUGUUCUACUCUGAGUACAGGUGCAGCACCCCCGAACACACACACACACACACACACACACACACACAAAGAAAACAUGAUGAGGACAUGAUGGCUGGCUUUGUGCUGUACACAUCAGCGCAUCAGUGGGGGAAGAGAGGACGAUGAUGGGGGAGAGGAAUAUAAGGAGACAUGGGGGAGAAAAUAAGAGUAAAUAAAAGAGGGAGCAGGAGAGAGAGAGAGAGAGAAAGAAAGAUAAUAGAGAAUAAAUAAAAAACAGAAAAUCGGAGAGAGGAUUAGAGAGAGGGAGAAAAGACAAGGGGAAAAAAGAAUGAGAGAUGGAGAUGAAGAAUGAAAGAGAGAUAAACAAUGAUAACAGAAAAUAAGAGAAGGGAUAAAAUGGGAGGAGAGGUAGGAAAACAACAGAAGAAAGAGAGAAGGUGAGAGAGAGGAAGAAAAAGAUGAGUGUGUAAAGGAGGUAGAGAGAGAAAGAUCGGAAAAGGUGAAGAGGAUAAGACAGAAAUGGAGGGCGACAGAAAAGAGGGGAGAAAAGAAAGUGAGAUAAAGGGAAAUAUUAAAUCGCUAAAAAAAAAAGACGGAGAGAGAGAUAGAUGAAGGGAAAGCACAAGGGGGAUUUAAAGGGACGACAAAUAAAGGGAGAGAUGAUUAAAAAAAGAUAAAGUGAGAAACAUAAAACAGACAUGACAAUGGAGAAAUAAUAACAAGAGUAACAUGGGGAGAGUGGUAGAAAAAGAAAAGAAGAAAGAAAGAGAGAUAGCGGGAGAGAAGAUAGAGGUGCGUAAAAGUGGGACAGAGGGAAACGAAUUAGAAAGUGGAGGAGAAUAAGACAAAAAAAUAAGAAUGGGGGAAAUGAAAAGAGAGAAAAAGUAAGAAAAAGGGAAGGACAAGUGCAGAAUGAAAGAGAGAUGAGAGACAAAAGAGAUGGAAAAAUUAGAGUAAGAAUAAAAUGAGGCAGAAAAAGAGAAGAAAAGGGAGAGAGAGAGAUAGAGGGAGAAACGAUAGAGGUGCAUAAAAGAGACUGAGGGAGGAAACGGAAAGGAAAAAAGAGAAAACGUGAAAGAAAGAAGUUCAAAAAAGACGGAAAAAUAGAAGUGAAGAACGAGGUGGGUAGAGCGGAAGAACAGGGCAAGAAGAAAGAGGGAGAGAGAGAGAGAGGAAGAAAGGCAAAGGUGAAAGAGAGAGUGAGAUGAAAAAAAGGAGAGAAGAGAAAAUGAUGAAGAAAAUAGAAAGAAGAAAAAGGGUAAAGAGACUGAGAGCAAAAAGAAGUAGAGAAAAAAGAGAAAAUAUAUAAAUGCGAGCGUGUGUGUGUGUGUGAGAGAGAGAGAGAGAGAGAGAGAGAUGAGGGUUUAUUUAUACACAUGCACAUAUCUGUCACUACCAAUUAUACAUAAAUACACACACACACACACACAUGCACACACACACAUGCACACACCGACACACACGCACACACACGCGUAUCAAACAGACACACAUUUGUGACAUACACACAGCAGAUAUUGAAUUCUCACCCCUCUCUCUCUCUCUCUCUCUUUCUCUCUCUCUCUCGCACACACACACAGACACACACACACACACACACACACACACAUUGAUUGAACACUCACAUCCAGGUGGGACAUGAUCAAUAUUUUUUUCUCCACCAUUUUCCUCCACACACACACAGCAUCACAACACCACACGUCUCUAGAGAAACAAAACUCUGCUGUUCUGUGGGGAUUAAAACCUGUCUCACAGAGAUAAGACGAGAGAGUGAGACAGAAAAGGACAGAAUCACAAAGAACAAGAGGGAGAUCAAGAGAAAAAGCGAGAGAGAAAAAAAUGUAACUAAAUAAAAGGAGGAAAGACCGGAGUGAGAAAGAGAAGACUGGUGAAAGAAAGACAGUAAGACAGAAUAGGAAGUACAAGAGAGUGAGAGAGAGAGAGAGAGAGAGAGAGAGAGACUGAUGAAGGAAAGGAUAAGGUGCAGAAAAAGAUGAAUAAAAAUAAAAGAGAUAAGAGAGACAGGCACAAACAAUACGAAGGAGAGACGAAAGAAACUGCAGAGAAAAGAGAGCAAAGGAAGAGCGACGAGUCGAACAAGGGCAAUGAUAAGAUGGGGUGAGAGAUAGAAAAAGAAAAGACGAUAGAGGCAGAAGUGAGAAAGAGGAAAAAUGAGAAAGCAGAGAGAUAGAAUGGAAGAGAAAGAGAGGAAGAUAAGGAUGGAAGGAUGUGCUUUAUUGAUCCCUGAGGGGAAAUUUGGGGAAACACAUUUGAGUGCAGGUGAAGGGAAUGAAAUUAGUGAGAGACGAGUACGGGCCGAGAGAGACAGACACAGAGAGAGAGAGAGAGCCAGCGUGGGGUCACACACUCUGAGUGGACACUUAUUAAAUUAAAGACACGUGGUGUUACAGCGCACAGCAUUCUGGGAAGAUGUUAUGUGAUGUUCCAGGAAGUGUCUUUACACACAGUCGCCAUAAUCCCUACAUCAUUUAAAAAUCCUGUAAAUGAAUAGCAUUCAAUAUGCGCUAAGACAACCAUUAGAAAUAAGAAUAACACUAAUACUAAGACUAACACUGGUAAUAAUAAGAAGUAACACUACUACCACUGCUGCUACUUUUACUAGUAAUACAACCGGUAAUAUUCAUACAAAUACUCCUAGUACUACUACUGCUAGUAAUAUUACUACUACUUCUACUACUAUGGCUGGUAAUAUUACGACUUCUACUUCUGCUAGCAAUACAAUCAGUAAUAUUCAUACAAAUACUCCUACUACGAUUGCUAUUAUCGCUAAUACUAGAAGUAUUAAUACUACUACUACUCCGGCUAGUAAUACUACUACUAGUACUGCCGCUUAUU